rnacentral:rRNA from 1 species
UCAAGCUAUAAAGAGCGCAAGGGGAAUGCCUUGGCAUCAGGAGCCGAAGAAGGACGUGACAAGCUGCGAUAAGCUUCGGGGAGGAGCAAAUAUCCGUUGAUCCGGAGAUUUCCGAAUGGGGAAACCCACCAGAGCAAUACUCUGGUAUCGUGCGUUGAAUAAAAUAGGCGUACGAGGGGAACGCCCUGAACUGAAACAUCUAAGUAGGGGCAGGAAAAGACAUCAACCGAGAUUCCGCAAGUAGUGGCGAGCGAACGCGGAGGAGGCCAAACCGGAGGAUUUAUUCUCCGGGGUUAGGACUGGCAUCACGAUCAGAGGUAUCUAGAAGAACGGCAUGGGAAGGCCGGCCAUAGAGGGUGAGAGCCCCGUAUUUGAAAGAGAAGACUGACAGCCAGUAUCCAGAGUACCGCGGGACACGUGAAACCCCGUGGGAAGAUGGGUGGACCACCAUCCAAGCCUAAAUACUACCUGAUGACCGAUAGAGGAGCAGUACCGUGAGGGAAAGGUGAAAAGGACCCCGGGAGGGGAGUGAAAGAGAACCUGAAACCUUGUGCUUACAAGCAGUCAAAGCGCGUUAAAGCGUGAUGACGUACUUUUUGUAGAACGGUCCGGCGAGUUAUAGUAACGAGCAAGCUUAAGGUAUUGAGUACCGGAGGCGAAGCGAGAGCGAGUCUGAAUAGGGCGUAAAGUUCGUUGCCAUAGACCCGAAACCGGGUGACCUAUCCAUGAGCAGGCUGAAGUGAGAGUAAAAUCUCAUGGAGGGCCGAACCGACCCCCGUUGCAAUGGUGGCGGAUGACUUGUGGAUAGCGGAGAAAUUCCAAUCGAACUCGGAGAUAGCUGGUUCUCCCCGAAAUAGCUUUAGGGCUAGCGUCGGAUAUGUGUAGUGGAGGUAGAGCACUGAAUGGGCUAGGGGGCAUAUCGCUUACCGAACCUUAUCAAACUCCGAAUGCCAUAUACAUUAAGUCCGGCAGUCAGACUACGAAUGAUAAGAUCCGUGGUCAAAAGGGAAACAGCCCAGAUCGUCAGCUAAGGUCCCAAAGUGUAAGUUAAGUGGAAAAGGAUGUGGGAUUUCUAAGACAACUAGGAUGUUGGCUUAGAAGCAGCCACUCAUUUAAAGAGUGCGUAAUAGCUCACUAGUCGAGAGAUCCUGCGCCGAAAAUGUCCGGGGCUCAAACUUACCACCGAAGCUACGGGCUUGCGUAAGCAAGCGGUAGGGGAGCGUCGUAAUCGGGCUGAAGUCGUACCGUAAGGAGCGGUGGACUGAUUACGAGUGAGAAUGUUGGCAUUAGUAGCGAGAUGUAGGUGAGAAUCCUACAGGCCGAAUAUCUAAGGUUUCCUCAGGAAGGCUCGUCCGCUGAGGGUUAGUCGGGACCUAAGCCGAGGCCGAAAGGCGUAGGCGAUGGACAAUCGGUUGAUAUUCCGAUACCACUACCAUCGUUAUUAUCGAGGGUGUGACGGAGAAGGAUAGUGUGUGCUAGCGAUUGGAAAUGCUAGUCUAAGCGUUUAGGGAGUUACGGUAGGCAAAUCCGCUGUAACAAUUCUGAGGCGUGAUGGGGAAGGUCAUAUAGACCGAAGUACAUGAUUCCAUGCUUCCAAGAAAAGCAUCUAGAGAGAGAAGUAGUGCCCGUACCGCAAACCGACACAGGUAGAUGAGGAGAGAAUCCUAAGGCCGGCGGAAGAAUUGCAGUUAAGGAACUAGGCAAAUUGACCCCGUAAGUUCGCGAGAAGGGGUGCCUGCGAGAGCAGGCCGCAGAGAAUAGGCCCAAGCAACUGUUUAGCAAAAACACAGGUCUCUGCUAAAGCGCAAGCUGAUGUAUAGGGGCUGACGCCUGCCCGGUGCUGGAAGGUUAAGGGGAACACUUAGCGCAAGCGAAGGUGUGAACUUAAGCCCCAGUAAACGGCGGCCGUAACUAUAACGGUCCUAAGGUAGCGAAAUUCCUUGUCAGGUAAGUUCUGACCCGCACGAAUGGCGUAAUGAUUUGGGCACUGUCUCAACAGCCCGCCCGGCGAAAUUGUAGUACUGGUGAAGAUGCCAGUUACCCGCAACUAGACGGAAAGACCCCAUGGAGCUUUACUGCAGCUUAAUACUGAAAUUCGGUAGUACAUGUACAGGAUAGGUGGGAGACUGAGAAAUACAGGCGUCAGCUUGUAUGGAGUCGCUGUUGGGAUACCACUCUUGUACUGCUGGGUUUCUAACCUGCGGCCGUGAAUCCGGUCGGGGGACACUGUUAGGCGGGCAGUUUGACUGGGGCGGUCGCCUCCAAAAGAGUAACGGAGGCGCUCAAAGGUUCGUUCAGCACGGACGGAAAUCGUGCAUUGAGUGUAAACGCAUAAACGAGCCUAACUGCGAGACCGACGGGUCGAGCAGUAACGAAAGUUGGAGUUAGUGAUCCGGUGGUAUGUGAGUGGAAAUGCCAUCGCUCAACGGAUAAAAGCUACCCUGGGGAUAACAGGCUGAUCUCCCCCAAGAGUCCACAUCGACGGGGAGGUUUGGCACCUCGAUGUCGGCUCAUCGCAUCCUGGGGCUGUAUUCGGUCCCAAGGGUUUGGCUGUUCGCCAAUUAAAGCGGCACGCGAGCUGGGUUCAGAACGUCGUGAGACAGUUCGGUCCCUAUCUGUUGCGGGCGUAAGAGAUUUGAAGGGAGCUGUCCUUAGUACGAGAGGACCGGGAUGGACGUACCUCUGGUGCACCAGUUGUCCUGCCAAGGGCAUAGCUGGGUAGCUAUGUACGGACGAGAUAAACGCUGAAAGCAUCUAAGCGUGAAACUCCCCCUAAGAUGAGAUCUCUCAUCCUUUAUGGAGUAAGGGCCCAGAAAGACGAUCUGGUUGAUAGGCCGGAGGUGGAAGUGCAGUAAUGUAUGGAGCUGACCGGUACUAAUAGCCCGAGGGCUUGACCU